rnacentral:rRNA from 1 species
GAUGAACGCUGGCGGCGUGCCUAAUACAUGCAAGUCGAGCGAACGGACGAGAAGCUUGCUUCUCUGAUGUUAGCGGCGGACGGGUGAGUAACACGUGGAUAACCUACCUAUAAGACUGGGAUAACUUCGGGAAACCGGAGCUAAUACCGGAUGAUAUUUUGAACCGCAUGGUUCAAAAGUGAAAGACGGUCUUGCUGUCACUUAUAGAUGGAUCCGCGCUGCAUUAGCUAGUUGGUAAGGUAACGGCUUACCAAGGCAACGAUGCAUAGCCGACCUGAGAGGGUGAUCGGCCGCACUGGAACUGAGACACGGUCCAGACUCCUACGGGAGGCAGCAGUAGGGAAUCUUCCGCAAUGGUCGAAAGCCUGACGGAGCAACGCCGCGUGAGUGAUGAAGGUCUUCGGAUCGUAAAACUCUGUUAUUAGGGAAGAACAUAUGUGUAAGUAACUGUGCACAUCUUGACGGUACCUAAUCAGAAAGCCACGGCUAACUACGUG